AAAUUAAUUUAUCUCAGAUUCCACCAUAAGGGUGAAUUUCAGAGUACACAAUAUGCUGGUGGGAUAGAGAUUGUUAUAUGGGGUGUUGAUAUUGAAAGAUUUUCAUAUACAAUACUCAUGGAGCAUGUCAAAGAUGAUCUUGAAUAUUCAGAAAUCGGAGGAAUCUAUUUUGGUACAGGGGAGAUUUAAAGUUGCUGACCAGUGUUAUUGAGCUUAACCGAUUAGUUGAUCUAACCGAGGAUGGAAACCAUAUUGAUUUGUACAUUGAUAAUGUCAUUGACACGAGUGUAAAGCCAAUACCAAAAAUGCAGCCGCAUGUGGUCAUGAGGCCAAGACCUAAUCUAGUUGCAGGUACAUUAGGUAUCUGAACUUUGUGCUACAAUAUUACUUUGUCUAGACUAUUUAUUUUAUAAUAUUUUUUCCUGCCAUAUUUUUCAUUUUAACGUUGAACUCUUGUGUAACUACCCUUGCACUUUUGUAGCUAAAAAACAACCUAAGCGUCAAUUCACCACGGCUCAUCAACUAUUGCUACAACAACAGCAGAAGAACAAAAAAGCAAAGCUAUUGGGUUCAGAUCAGAAAUGGCCACAAGGUACUAGGAAGUCGCCACGAGUCAAUAAAUUAGUAGAAAGCAAUGAUAAACCUCUGACUUCUAAGCCUGACUGCCAAAAGAAAAUUGGAUUUGAGCAAACAACAUGAAGACGAAACAAUGGGAGAAAAUGAGGUUGAG
rnacentral:lncRNA from 1 species